GGAGCAUGUGGUUUAAUUCGAAGCAACGCGCAGAACCUUACCAACGUUUGACAUCCCUAUCGCGGAUCGUGGAGACACUUUCCUUCAGUUCGGCUGGAUAGGUGGCAGGUGCUGCAUGGCUGUCGUCAGCUCGUGUCGUGAGAUGUUGGGUUAAGUCCCGCAACGAGCGCAACCCUCGCCUUUAGUUGCCAGCAUUUAGUUGGGUACUCUAAAGGAACCGCCGGUGAUAAGCCGGAGGAAGGUGGGGAUGACGUCAAGUCCUCAUGGCCCUUACGCGUUGGGCUACACACGUGCUACAAUGGCGACUACAGUGGGCAGCCACCUCGCGAGAGGGAGCUAAUCUCCAAAAGUCGUCUCAGUUCGGAUCGUUCUCUGCAACUCGAGAGCGUGAAGGCGGAAUCGCUAGUAAUCGCGGAUCAGCAUGCCGCGGUGAAUACGUUCCCAGGCCUUGUACACACCGCCCGUCACACCAUGGGAGUUGGAUUCACCCGAAGGCGUUGAGCUAACCGUAAGGAGGCAGGCGACCACAGUGGGUUUAGCGACUGGGGUGAAG
rnacentral:rRNA from 1 species